CCUACGGGAGGCAGCAGUGGGGAAUCUUCCGCAAUGGGCGAAAGCCUGACGGAGCAACGCCGCGUGAUCGAAUGAAGGCCUUCGGGUUGUAAAGAUCUGUUGACAGGGACGAAUAAUCAAUGCGAAUAGUUUUGUGUAUGACGGUACCUGUUUAGAAAGCUCCGGCUAAAUACGUGCCAGCAGCCGCGGUAAUACGUAGGGAGCAAGCGUUGUCCGGAAUUACUGGGCGUAAAGGGCGCGGAGGUGGGCUCGUAAGUCAGGUGGUAAAACUCCGGGCUUAACCUGGGGAAUGCAUUUGAAACUGGGUGUCUUGAGGGCAGGAGAGGAAAGUGGAAUUCCUAGUGUAGCGGUGAAAUGCGUAGAUAUUAGGAGGAACACCAGUGGCGAAGGCGACUUUCUGGACUGUACCUGACGCUGAGGCGCGAAAGCGUGGGGAGCGAACGGGAUUAGAUACCCGGGUAGUC
rnacentral:rRNA from 1 species